GGGGACGUUACGGAUUCGACAGGGGUAGUUCGAGCUUGAGUUGCGAGCCGAGGGGAUCGGCCUCGACAAAACGUCAAAGCCAAUAAUAACUGGCAAAUCUAACAACAACUUCGCUUUAGCUGCUUAAUAACAGUCUAUAGCGGUUCCUCCCUCCAUCGCCCAUGUGGUAGGGUAAGGGACUCACUUUAAGUGGGCUACGCCUGAUUUCGCCGUCUGAGGAUGAAGGAAGAGACUAAUCAGACUAGCUGCCUGGACGCCUGUCGGGAGGCAUAAAGUGCAGCGAACUGGGAAUAUUCCGACUACGCUCGUAGACGCUUAAGUCACGAUAUUUCUGGACGUGGGUUCGACUCCCACCGUCUCCACCA
rnacentral:tmRNA from 1 species